rnacentral:rRNA from 1 species
UACGGGGGGGGCAAGCGUUGUUCGGAAUUACUGGGCGUAAAGGGCUCGUAGGCGGCCAACUAAGUCGGACGUGAAAUCCCUCGGCUUAACCGGGGGACGGCGUCCGAUACUGGAUGGCUUGAGUUUGGGAGAGGGAUGCGGAAUUCCAGGUGUAGCGGUGAAAUGCGUAGAUAUCUGGAGGAACACCGGUGGCGAAGGCGGCAUCCUGGACCAAACUGACGCUGAAUAGCGAAAGCCAGGGAGCAAACGGG